rnacentral:rRNA from 1 species
GACGAACGCUGGCGGCGUGCUUAACACAUGCAAGUCGAACGGAAAGGCCCUGCUUUUGUGGGGUGCUCGAGUGGCGAACGGGUGAGUAACACGUGAGUAACCUGCCCUUGACUUUGGGAUAACUUCAGGAAACUGGGGCUAAUACCGGAUAGGAGCUCCUGCUGCAUGGUGGUGGUUGGAAAGUUUCGGCGGUUGGGGAUGGACUCGCGGCUUAUCAGCUUGUUGGUGGGGUAGUGGCUUACCAAGGCUUUGACGGGUAGCCGGCCUGAGAGGGUGACCGGCGACAUGGGGACUGAGAGACGGCCCAGAAGGCUACGGGAGGCAGCAGUGGGGAAUAUUGCACAAUGGGCGGAAGCCUGAUGCAGCAACGCCGCGUGCGGGAUGACGGCCUUCGGGGUGUAAACCGCUUUCGCCUGUGACGAAGCGUGAGUGACGGUAAUGGGUAAAGAAGCACCGGCUAACUACGUG